rnacentral:rRNA from 1 species
AUUUUCUCUUGCCAGCUUCAGCUGCAGCAGCGUCUUGCCUGCGUCAUAUAUUUUGUAUUAUGUUUUUGUGGGCAUGGUUCUGAACUUUGGCAUCGAUGGAUAGAAUUUCGUCCAAACUAUAAUGUUGUUGUUCAAGUGUAGGAUAAUUCGUUUUGAUGUCUCUGUUGUGUGUGCGCGGGCAUGUGCCAAAGGCGUCUAAUAGAACCCAGGUGAAGGCGAAGGAGGUUUGGCUCUCAGGCAUGUGUAACACUCGAUGAUAACAACGUGCAGACUGAAAAUAUGGAUCCCAAGUUCAAAGCCAUAUCCAAUUAGUUUGUCUCUCAAAAAAAAAUACAACAAAUGCUAAAGGAUGAUUUACCCAUGGAGGCAUGGACCGAGAUUGCUUUAAUUUGGUCGUACGGAAGAUUAUGUUUGAUGACAUCCAAAUGGCACAAAAAACAAAACAAUUGAUAGACAAACAUUAUCUCGACAUGAAAUUUUGGACUUGCUUGCUGGUGGCUGGUGCCCUGCAGGGACCAGGUGGUGCCGUCGGCCGCGGCGCCGCCGCCACCGUCGUUGCAGCAGCUAGGCCGGGAGUAGCCGAGCAGGGGAGAAGCAUAAUUGUUUUCUAUAUUCUGCUCCUCCCACCGACCAGUUGA